rnacentral:rRNA from 1 species
CCUACGGGAGGCUGCAGUGGGGAAUAUUGGACAAUGGGCGCAAGCCUGACCCAGCAAUGCCGCGUGAAGGAAGAAGGCCCUCGGGUUGUAAACUUCUUUUAUCAGGGACGAAGGAUGUGACGGUACCUCAUGAAUAAGCUCCCGCUAACUACGCGCCAGCAGCCGCGGUAAUACGUAGGGUGCAAGCGUUAUCGGGAUUUACUGGGUGCAGAGGGCGCGUAGGCGGGAUGGCAAGUCAGCUGUGAAAUCCGGGGGCUCAACCCGUGAACUGCAAUUGAAACUGUCGUUCUUGAGUACUGGAGAGGUGGACGGAAUUCCUGGUGUAGCGGUGAAAUGCGUAGAUAUCAGGAGGAACACCAGUGGCGAAGGCAGUCAACUGGACAGCAACUGACGCUGAGGCGCGAAAGCGUGGGUAGCAAACAGGAUUAGAUACCCGGGUAGUC